rnacentral:lncRNA from 1 species
CUGUGGGAAGCCCCUUGAGAUGUUGGAAGCAGGGCAGGGCAGGAGAACCCAGGGAGGGCACAGAGCUGUGGACGAGGGCUGGGAAAGCCAUCCCGCCUCCCCAGGGGGUCUCCGAGGAGUGCUGCUGUGGCCAAACCAGGGGGGCCACUUUGUGCUUUCUGUUUAGGUGAUGGGAUGCUUCUAUCUCCUCAGCACCCCACACCAAAUCCCCUGUUAUUGCCAGAUGAUGUGCCUAAUGAUCAAAUUGCUUGGAACUCCUAAUAAUAAAACUUUAAAUCUAUCCAUUCACCAUCCAUCUGCUGUCCACCCAUCCAUUCACCCAUUCAUUGACCCAUCUAUUAAUUCAUUAAUUGACCCACCUACUCAUCUAUCACUCAUCCACCCACUUCUCCAUCCAUCCACCUAUCCAUUCACUUAUCCAACCAUCUAACUACCAUUGGCCCACUCACCCAUCCAUCCAUUUAUCCAACCAUCCAACUACCAUUGGCCCACCCACCCAUCCAUUUAUCCAACUAUCCAACUACCAUUGGCAUCCACCCAUCCAUUCAUUUAUUCUUCCUUUGUUUCUUUCUGCUUGCCUGUUGGCCUUCCUUCCUUCCUAACCUCCCUCCUUCCUCCCUGCUUUUCACCCAUCCAGCCAUCCAUCAAUCCAGCCAUCCACCCAGCCAUCCAAUUAUUUGUUUUAUGCUUACUUCCCGUGUGCAUUUUACCUGUUCUGUGAUGAACAUGUCGGCCCUCUAAACUUCCUGUGGGAUCUGGAACCCCCAAUCCCAUCCCCCUCACCUUCUGGGGCACCUGAGGCCCUGAUCACAUCCCCACCCCCAUGUCCUGGGCGGCCUCAGGGACCUGACUAUGCGCCCUGCGGUGUCUCCCACCUCCUGGGGGAUCUGGAACUUUCGGACCACGCCCAGCUCGUAGUACAUCUGGAUGCCACAUUUGACCAGGUCCAGUUCGGUGCACUCCAGGUCAGAGAAGUGGAAUUCGUAGAUGUCAAAUGUGGUGGGCCCUGGCAGCUCCUCCUUCUGUGGGAGGGAUUGUGGGCUGAGGGAGGUUGGCCUGCCACAGCCCCCACUUGCUUCUCAUCCUUUCUUCUCUCCAGAUCCCCUGCCAAGCCUCAGACACCUCAGGCAUCUCUGAGGAGAUGUGUCAUUCCUGGCGCUCCAGCCUGUAUCCCAGGCUGCUCACACGCCCCCCUGGCUCAGCCUCACUCUCCCCUCUUGUACCCUGUGGCCCAACAGUGAAGAACUUGCCCAGUUGGGUGGACAGGGUGAUGUUGUUGAGACAAGAAAACACAAAGGUGUGCACAUGAAAAGAAACACACACACACACGGAUACAGACACACGUGACACAGGCACACCUGGAUACACGGCCACUCCCAUGAAUACAAAGGCACCGGUGUGGACACACAGGCACACACAUGAGCACCCAGGCACACCCACAGACAUGCAGGCACACACGUGCAGACUCACGCAUGUAGGCUCACACACACAGCCAUGAGGUAACACACACAACAGUGGACUUUCAGACCCACCAGGCACAUUCCCAUGCUCAGUCCAAGGCCUACUCACAAGGCUCGUGGCCCCGGGAGAUUCUGGCUAAAUUGCAUAGGCAGACACAGGGUGAUGGGGACACCACAUAAUCCCCACAUUGAUCCAGCAAUCGUCUCUAGGAGACACACACAAGCAUGUGUCUAUAUAUAUCCAUGUGCACACACAUGCACACACAAUACACACCCCCUGUGCACAUGUGAGCACACACACAUGGGUGCACACACGGGCACACACACACAAACGCCCAUGUGCACACACAUGCACACACAUACUCGUGGGCACACAUGUGCACACACAUGUGUACACAUGUGCACAUUCAUACAAUGCACACACGCACACACAUACCCACAUGUGCACACACACACCCACAUGUGCACACAUGUACACACCUGUGCAGACGCCCACGUGUGCACACACACCUACAUGCACACACACGUACACACUUGUGCACACACAGACACCCACAUGUGCACACACAUGCACACAGACACCCAUGUGCGUGCACACAUGCGGAUGCACACACACUGGGAGUUGCAGGCACCUAGGCACUCUGAGAGCAGAGAUGACAUAGAUGGACACAGAGUCCAAGUCAGGCCCACUAAACAUCCGGUGAAAACUAAACAUCUGGCAAAGCACAGAGGAGACAGGAAGACACGAAGAUACACUCAGGAGUGCAGACAUCAAAGCCACAUUCUGGCCAUGCAAACACACUCAGGGACACACUGGCUGAGACUGAAAGCCAGGCUUAUGUACACACACGUACACUAAGGUGCUUAGAUACACAAGUAUACACACACAGCACCAACAUCCCUGAUGACCGUGUGUGCAAAGCACCGUCGGGUCCCGGAGAAUGCAGAACUCUUCCUCCCAGCCUCACACGUGGCCGGCCUCCAUGGGAGGGACGGGAGCAAGGUUCUUACCAGGAUUUCGCCCAGCUCGUCCUCAUCGCAGUCAGCAGGCUCCUUCCCCAGGCGCGCUCUGGUUGGCUACACAGAGACACAGAUGUGUCACGAGAAAGAGCUUCGCAUGUGGGACAAGGUGACGGCGGUGCGUCCACCCCGUGUGAGCUAGAGGAAGGUGCUGUCAAGAGCUUGUGCUUUCACCCUGGGAAGGCCCUGGCGGCCUCUGAUCUGGAGACAAAUGACCGUGUGCAUGGCCUGCUGACUUUCCCACCUGUCCUCUCUCGGGCACUGCCUUACGCAGUCCUCAGGUAUAAUGAUGGGACUCUCUCAUGAUGACCAGGAGGGCUCUGGCCAUGCAAGGCCCCUGGCUGGGGAGAUUGAGCACAGGGAAGGGAUGCCAGGGCCGUGCAGACAGAGGGACCUCGGGGGCAUGCCAGGGCUGUACUCAGCUCUGGCCCCAGGGCCGUGUCCCCACCACACAGAGAGAGCUGUGACCCCUGGGUAACCUGGCCGCCCACUGCACAGAGGGAGCCGUGACCCCUGGGUGACCUGCCCCACACAGCUGUGACCCCUGGGUGACCUGCCCCCACCGCACAGCCAUGACCCCUGGGUGACCUGCCCCUGCCACACAGCCGUGACCCCUGGACGACCUGCCCCGCACACCUGUGACCCCUGGGUGACCUGCCCCCACCACACAGCCAUGACCCUUGGGUGACCUGCCCCGCACACCUGUGACCCCUGGACGACCUGCCCCCGCCGCACAGCCGUGACCCCUGGUGACCUGUCCCUGCCACAGAUCCAUGACCCCUGGGUGACCUGCCCCCGCCACACAGCCGUGACCCCUGGCGACUUGCCCCCACCAUACAGCCAUGACCCCUGGUGACCUGUCCCCACCGCACAGCUGUGACCCCUGGUGACCUGCCCCCGCCGCAGAGCCAUGACCUCUGGGUGACCCCUGGAUGGACCCCUGGACGACCUGCCCCCACCACACAGCCGUGACCCCUGGAUGACCUGCCCCCACCGCACAGCCAUGACCCCUGGGUGAGCCCUGGAUGACCUGCCUCUGCUGCACAGCCAUGACCCCUGUGACCCCUCAAUGGACCCCUGGACGACCUGCCUGUGCCACACAGCCAUGACCCCUGGGUGACCCCUGGACGACCUGCCCCUGCCGCACAGCCGUGACCCCUGGGUGACCCCUGGACGACCUGCCCCCGCCGCACAGCCAUGACCCCUGGCCGUGACCCCUGGGUGACCCCUGGACGACCUGCCCCCACCGCACAGCCGUGACCCCUGGGUGACCCCUGGAUGACCUGCCCCCACCACACAGCCGAGACCCCUGGGUGACCCCUGGACGACCUGCCCCUGCCACACAGCCGUGACCCCUGGGUGACCCCUGGACGUCCUGCCCCGCCGCACCAGGAUGAGCUGGAUCUCGUCCCUGUCGCACUUCACGUGGUAAAGGACCAUGUCCUGUGCGAUGUCCUUGCGGUUCUCCAGCUUGUUCAUCUUGUCGUAGGUGUCGGUGUUCAUCACUGACCAGCCCAGGAACUGUGUCAGGGACUGGAGGGGAUGGCAGUGUCACUGGCGCUCAGCGCUCCCGGCGCGCCCCCUCCCAUGUGCCUGUGUGCCAGGCCCCGUGGCUCGGCGGGCAGGUCCUGGGGCUGCCACCAUGGUGUCGCAGUGCUUCUGUGUGGGGUCUCCCGGGUGCUCUGCAGAGGCUCCUGCUCCCGGGGGGGCCCUUUGUCGUCCUCUCCCUGGCCGCAUGCAUACCGCACACACAUGAGCACACGCACACAGCCGAAUGCUUGGCGGGGAGGCCCCCACACCGCACAGGCCCCACCCCUCGCAGGGCAUCCCCGGCGGAACCACGUCUGCCCAGGUGCUUACCUCCAUGAGAACCUCGUCCUGUUCGUCAAAGGGCUUCCCGUCUUUCCUGUUGUAAAAUGUGGCGACUCCCACAAUCUCCUCCUUCUUGUUGACGAUGGGCAUGGACAGCACAUUCUUGAUGAGCCACCCGGAGUCGUCCAGGGCCCCUUCCUGCGGGAGCGGUGUCCAGAGCUGAGCUCCGCCCUGAGGCUGGCCCUGGCCCGGGCGUGUGGCCGGGGAGAGUGACCUCAUGUCUUCUCCCCUAGAGCCGUGACGGCUGGGCUCGUGUUCCUGUCUCUGCUCUCUGCAUUCCCUCUCUCCCUCUCUGCAUUUGGAGUUUGUGUCCAUGGUUUUUGUGUCAUGAUAUUUUCCCACCGGAGGAGGUAGAGGCCGUUUUCCCACCAGGAGUGGUUUCAUGGGCAUGUGUGUGGGGCGGCGGUCACGGCCUCGCAGGGGUGUGUGGGGGCCGCGGUCACGGCCUCGCAGGGGUGUGUGGGGGCCGCGGUCACGGCCUCGCAGGGGUGUGUGGGGGCCGCGGUCACGGCCUUGCGGGCGUGUGUGGGGGCUGUGGUCACAGCCCCAGGUGAUCCACCCGCCUCAGCCUCCCAAAGUGCUGGGAUUACAGGCGUGAGCCACCAUGCCUGGCUGAAGUUGUU